GCAAGUUCAAAUUUCGAUUACAUUCCAUCCAGCAAGUAGUGUUGGAACAAAAUAGAGCUUAGCACAUUCCUUCCAUGAAGUAGUUUUGGAGCAAAAUAAAAUUCACUACACCCAACAAGACUUUUAAUUCUGCCACAUCCCUUCCAUUGACCAAUUUUGGAGCAAAAUAAAAUGCAGACACUCAACACAUAUUAGACUCUUGACGCAUCAAGCACCCUCUAACGUAUUGGAGGCAUCUACAUUCGAUUCAACAACUUGUAACUGAUUAGAUUCAGCAACAUUUGAUGUCCCACCCUCCAAUUGAUUUGAGACAACACUUGAUGUCUUCUUGUUUCUCCUCCUAUGUGCAACACAGUAAAAGGUAGUUGAGAAAAAGUAUAAGCACACCUCAUCAUUGCAAAUUCACUAGGAAGCAAAGGGCAAUUUAGCCAUUUUGAAUUUUUUAACGGAGAGACUAACUUGACGGAUGGAGUAAGCUGACGUGACAGACUUAAUAGGGUAUAAAAGGGAUGAACAUUGAGAAUCUGAAUAUAAACGGGAACUAUACUAGGGGGAAAUAAGGGAUGACGUCCAAAAACAGGGGCAAAUAAAGGAUCAACUCCAAAUUUUUUUAC
rnacentral:lncRNA from 1 species